GGGCGGGCUUUGCUGCAGGUGGUUGCAGUGGCCGCGCUGUUAGGACUGGGGUCUGGCGAAUAUAAACGUAGCCGAAACGCUGAAGAGUUGCAUAUCUCCAAAUACCUGGAAACUUCAUCCCGCUCACCUAUGGCGUGAUUCAGAUUUCUCAGUCAAGUUGUAUACCUUUUCUACAUAAUCAUGAAAAUGAACUUG